rnacentral:misc_RNA from 1 species
GAUGAAGAACGCAGCGAAAUGCGAUAAGUAGUGUGAAUUGCAGAAUUCAGUGAAUCAUCGAAUCUUUGAACGCACAUUGCGCCCCUUGGUAUUCCAUGGGGCAUGCCUGUUCGAGCGUCAUUUGUACCCUCAAGCUUUGCUUGGUGUUGGGCGUCUUGUCGUAUUACGACUCGCCUUAAAUACAUUGGCAGCCGGCACUUUGGCCUAGGAGCGCAGCACAUUUUGCGAUCGUAGCCCGUUGUACUGGCGUCCAUCAAGAACAUUUACCACGUUUGACCUCGGAUCAGGUAGGGAUACCCGCUGAACUUAAGCAUAUCAAUAAGCGGAGGA